AUUGAACGCUGGCGGCAGGCUUAACACAUGCAAGUCGAGCGGGGUGAUGGUGCUUGCACUAUCACUUAGCGGCGGACGGGUGAGUAAUGCUUAGGAAUCUGCCUAUUAGUGGGGGACAACAUCUCGAAAGGGAUGCUAAUACCGCAUACGUCCUACGGGAGAAAGCAGGGGAUCACUUGUGACCUUGUGUUAAUAGUUGAGCCUAAGUCGGAAUAGCUAGUUGGAGGGGUAAAGGCCUCCCAAGGCGACGAUCUGUAGCGGGUCUGAGAGGAUGAUCCGCCACACUGAGACUGAGACACGGCCCAGACUCCUACGGGAGGCAGCAGUGGGGAAUAUUGGACAAGGGGGGGAACCCUGAUCCAGCCAUGCCGCGUGUGUGAAGAAGGCCUUAUGGUUGUAAAGCACUUUAAGCGAGGAGGAGGCUCUUUUGGUUAAUACCCAAGAUGAGUGGACGUUACUCGCAGAAUAAGCACCGGCUAACUCUGUGCCAGCCGCCGCCGUAA
rnacentral:rRNA from 1 species